rnacentral:misc_RNA from 1 species
AAAUGCGAUAACUAGUGUGAAUUGCAGAAUUCCGUGAAUCAUCGAGUCUUUGAACGCACAUUGCGCCCCCUGGUAUUCCGGGGGGCAUGCCUGUCCGAGCGUCAUUGCUGCCCAUCAAGCACGGCUUGUGUGUUGGGUCGUCGUCCCCUCUUCGGGGGGGACGGGCCCCAAAGGCAGCGGCGGCACCGCGUCCGAUCCUCGAGCGUAUGGGGCUUUGUCACCCGCUCUGUAGGCCCGGCCGGCGCUUGCCGAACGCAAAUCAAUCUUUUCCAGGUUGACCUCGGAUCAGGUAGGGAUACCCGCUGAACUUAAGC